rnacentral:lncRNA from 1 species
ACACUUAUUGUUGCAAAAUAUCUGGACCAGAUUUAGAUAAAAUAUGCAGGUCUAAGGAAAAUAAUAGUAUAAAUUAAGCAGUUUGGCCAACGUGCAAUGUGCAGGAGGUGAGCGUGGGAGGGCAUUGAACCAUUGGGCUUUCCCAGUUUUCACUGGACUGAAGCAGAAGAGACAAAUCUUAGUCUAAAUUGGAAUUAUUGGGUGGCUUUUUCCUGCCUUGCCAAAGCUGGCACCCUGUUGGGUUCAUUGUUUGGCAUUUUUUGCUUAUUAUUGCUUCUUCUUCUUCUUAUUUUUUGCUCAGGGAAAAGGCGUGCAUGGAAAGCCAUGCCAAAUUGUCAUCAAGGCUCAAUUUUAAACAGUUAAUCUUAUUUUUCCAAUGUGCUAGUUGCUGGUGCUCUUACAUCACCACAACAGAGUCGGUUACCAUUGCAUUCGAUUGUUAAAGCUUAAAGAUAUGCAAAUAUAAUGACUCCAAGUGCAUCUCAUCAAAAUCAACAUAAAGAUGAGAAAACUCAAGUGAAUCUCAUGUGGCUAGAAGACCAUCAUAAACGAGAGGAAAAUAAGAAGAAAAGGGACACUUUGGUCUGUUGACUUGAGACUUCUGCAAUUUUAAGUAUCUGAAAGUGGAUGAUGACGAUGAUAAUAAAGCCCCUUAGAAGCUUGGGCCGAAUCUCUUACAGGGAGAGAAAGCUUCCCAGCUGGUAAGCCCAGAGAUGAGAAUGCAGAGGCCCAGCCAUGUGUGGUGGAAACAGAGUUGGAGCCUGGGCACCUGGGGUUGAGCGCCCCCUUGGGAAGGGCAUCUGAUUUCUCUUGGCUUCAGUUUCUUUCCCUGCCAUUUUGGAGAUCCUGUAAAAGCAAAAUUCCUGACGGUGAAGGGGUGUAUCUUUUAAAGAAAAGGAGAAAGGAACUCAUAAUUUUUUGGAAACUUCACUUAUAUUUAGCCCACACACGUCAACCCUGCAGCCGUGGAAGACGGAUCUGUUCUGGAGUGACCCUACGUGAAGUGGUUUUCUUAAGAUGCUCUUCCUUCGGAGAGUCUCAGAGCCACGGCCUAGGUCAAGCCAGCUUGACGCACUUUGUCCUUCUGAGGAAGGACACCAUCACUGCCCACCUUGCUGGACCGUUUAGAAUUAAAGGGAACACGUUUCAGAUAAAAGUCCUCAGAAAAAAGUAAAUGCCGUGAGAUUGCAAGGUUAUUGUUGGUGACGUAGUUUGUUUUUGCAGAGAACUGAAUAGGUUUUUCUGGAGGUGAUAAUUGGGAAGGGCUUUCCCCCUGCCACCAGGCACCAAAGGAGCCAGGCUGAGCUAUUUCAAUGGAGAAUUUCAUGAACAAGGUGGAACAAGACCUUGAGCUUCUGUGCAGGCAGUGCGAGGCAACAGCUUAAAUAAUGUGGAAGAGGGAAGAUGCGCUCUGGUUCUUAAUGAAGGGGACUCGAAGAAGCGUGUUUCCUUCUCCAGCGUUCUUGAAUGUGGAGAGAGCUGUGAUUUCCAUGGAAUGAAUAGUGGCCCAGCUUCCUACCUCCCCUUCGUCAGCCAGCUGACACCCAACCCUGGGAUCUGGGGAGCAGGAAGAUCAGGUUUAAGUCCUAAUUCCUAGGAAACUUUGCCUCAGCUCACCAGGUUCAUUCCAACCAAAAGGUGAAAGGAAACUAAGAGUUAGCUGAGCCAAGAAAGGCAAUCACCAACACAGACCAGAACCGAGUUAGGUCACUCCGGGCUUUCUGCACCAUUGCCACCAUUAACACCUGGAAAGCCUUUGAUUCUCACAUUAGCAAAACAUGCCAUAAAGCAUGCACUUCCUCUCUUCCCUCAGACCCGGGUCCCAUUGCAAGAAGGAGGGGGACUGUUACAAAGGCGCCAUUCAGCCCUGGCAAGGCUUUCUUGAUUAGGCCUCUGAGGGGAGACUUCAACCAAGUCUUCUCACAGAACGUGCAGGCAGUCACAGCAUCCGAUCCCCAGCAGCCACUGGGUGAAGGGCUCUUGGAAUGGCCAAGCCCAGGAGGACGGUGGAGAUGAACGAGUCAAACCACCUUAUUUUAUAGAGAAGGAAAUUGAUGCCUCAGGUGAAGAUUUUAAUUUGCAACAUGAAUUCCGAUGUCUACCAUGUGUCAGACACGAUGCAAUAUUUUGAGGACGAGCUGCUUCCUAACUUCAGCUCUUUCGGAAGACGGUCAGUCAUGUACGUGGUGCAGGAAAUGUUCACCAUCUACACCUGAGUACAAAAUAGCUGUGAAUGUAACGAGAGCCCAUAUUCCCAAUUAGAAAGUCCAAAAUAGGGUUGCGUGCGUACACGUGUGCGCGCACACACACACAAUCAAACACAAUUUGUAUACAAGUAGAUAAGUUUGCCAAAUACUUCAUCAAAUAUUUAGAUUACAAAUUAGCUAUACAUUUAAAAUUGCAUAAUUUAUAAACUAUUGAAAUCUUUCUGCUCUCAUUUCACCAUGCAAGUUUAUUCACUCUCUCCGCAUGGCUCCUGUGUUGGUAUCUGCUUGUCAGUGGGACUACUCUUCGAGUCGUCUAAGGCAUCUUCACCUCCAUCUAAGAGGCAGCUCUUCCAGAAUCCUUGUAAGAUGCUGUCACUGGAAAUUUUAUCUCAAGGCACAAGUUUCAGUCCAUUAUUCAUGAUCCUCACGACAUAACUCUCUUUCUCUAUUGCUUUUUUAAAGUGAUUUUUUUAAAGCCUUGUUUGUGAUAACAUGCCAGGAAUGGACUUGAGAGGUCAUAAUCGACCCUCCCCCCAGAGGAAUAAUUACACCUAAAUUAAAUUUCUUUGCCCCCUUUGUUAAUAAUUCCAUUAGGUGACUUGUAUGGGGAUCCAGGAGCAACAUUUAAUGAGGUUGCUUCGUGCUAAUGACUCUUCUCUAAAUACUACUCUGAUUUGAAAAAUAAAAUAUUGAGGACAGUCCCCUAUAAUAGAUUU